rnacentral:rRNA from 1 species
UACGUAGGGUGCAAGCGUUGUCCGGAAUUAUUGGGCGUAAAGAGCUCGUAGGCGGUUGGGUAAGUCGGGUGUGAAAACUCAGGGCUCAACUCUGAGACGCCACUCGAUACUGCCCUGACUCGAGUCCGGUAGGGGAGCGUGGAAUUCCCGGUGUAGCGGUGAAAUGCGCAGAUAUCGGGAGGAACACCAGUGGCGAAGGCGGCGCUCUGGGCCGGAACUGACGCUGAGGAGCGAAAGCGUGGGUAGCAAACAGG